rnacentral:tRNA from 1 species
GCAUUUGUAGCUCAACUGGAUAGAGUGUCGGACUACGAAUCCGAAGGUUGGGGGUUCGAUUCCCUCCAAGUGCACCA